UUAUCGUAUAUCCAAAGCUUUUGGAGAGCCGGGCAGACGGUAGUCGUCUAGUCCUUCAUGUUCAACCUGGUUUCACCCUCGCUCUCGAAAAAAGCUCUGUAUUGGCAAAGGAGUUAUACUUUGGAUCUUCCACUUACAAAAAUACCGACAGAGUCCUUCUAAACGGAAAAGAACUUGAAAAGAAUCUAUAUCAUAAUAACGACCACAUGGCAUCUCUCGUUGUCAAGAGGGUACGCAACAGCGUGGAAGUGCGAGGAAUUCUCAGUCAUCAGCAUAGAAUUGCUCCAGCUGUUGUAGCCGGUGACACCAGUGGUGAAGAUAUUCCACACCGGAUAUUUGAAGAAAGAUCGUCUUCUCCAUUC
rnacentral:lncRNA from 1 species